rnacentral:misc_RNA from 1 species
AUAGCCUUGUGCCUGGAAUCAAAUCGAAGAUUGGCAUCCAUUGUACCUGAUCGGCUGCUUUUCAGAAGGGAGUUCGUUAAUUUUUGUAUUUUGAUGCCGACAAAUAUUAAAAAAUAGUGACCCUCGAACGGUUUUAAUUAAAGGCUCUUUUUAUCGGAAACGUUAUCAUGGGACUGUAGUGUAAAUUAUUCCGAACCAGGGACUCUAUACGAUUCAGUUUGUGUGAAAACCGACGGCGUUUUUCUGAACGGGACAUGUUUUUAUUUUUAUUUUUGUAACUCCGUUUUCCUUUUCCCGGAAGAAAAAUUUUGUAUAAGACAUGCAGCCAUGGAACCAGUGGGGAGUUCAGGCCAAUUCUUACUCCAUGCCUGGCUAUCCUUCGCCAAUACAGUCUGCAUUGGCCCAAGCUGGAAACGUGGGCGCUGCAGCAUCGACCGUUCCUCAGUAUUCUGUACCUUAUCAAUGGCCUAACUAUACUCAGCCAGGCCCUGCCAGUGCUGGUGUUAAUGCUUGGCAGCAACAGCAGCAGCAAUGGGAUCAGUGGCAGCAGUGGCAACAACAAUACCAACAGUGGCAGCAACAAUACGGAAAAGAAUACAUGGCAGCAGUGCAAGCUGGACAAACAACAGGAGUACCUGCACCGCCCCCAGAACAGCCAAAAACUCCAUCUACAACAGCGCCACCACAGGUUGGUUCAAAUAAGAGGCCGCCCGCAGAUGUUGAAGCUAGUGCAGAUAAUAAAAAACAAAAAACUGAUGACACUGCUUCUGCAAUUCAAUCUGUCAAGUCAACAUUAGAGGAAAUGGCAGAAGCAGAGAAACAGUUUGAUGAACAAUUUAAUAAUUGGGAAUCACAAUUUAAUUCCUGGAGGGAGGAAAAUGCAAAUCAUCCUGACACGGAACAAUACAAAGCUUAUGAAUCAAAAUGGACUAGCUGGAGAACUCAGUUACUUCAGAGACGAGAGCAGAUGAAAAAAAAGCGAGAUGCUAAAUUAGCAGAGCUAGAAAAAUUGCAGGCUCAGCAGACUCAACAUCCUGCUUCAACUGCUGGAACAGCAGCUAGCACAACUGUAACUUCAUCAACUUCCACUGUACCUUCUUUGCCAUCGGCCACUGUACAUCCAUCUGGGGCAAAUCCAUAUCAACCGGGGCUCUAUGGAAACAUGUCUUUCCCUAUGGGUUUUAACCAACAAGGUUAUAUGUUCGGGCAGGGAGGGCAGAUGUUCCCACCUGUUCCACCUCCAGUAAUGCCCCCUUCGGCAUUACUCACUGGAGAUUCAGCUGCCAUUGGAAUGAACAUGUCUUCAAUGCCACCCACUUCUGUUCCCCCUCCAACACAACAUGAAUCUUCAGCUUCUUUAUCAGAUCCUCAACAGGCGAAAUCACUUCUUGGUGAUGCCACAAAACUUUCAAGCGGAAGUAAAACAAACGAUGGUGGAAUUCCUGGGCUGGACCUUAUUAAUUCUGGUAAUGAUGGAAAUGUAUCUAAUUACAAUUUGCCACCUAUGUCAUUGACCAAGACAGGUCAAGAGACGAUUCAAACUCCCGCUGACAGUAAACCAUUUGACUUUCCACCUCCUGGAAAAAUGCCUCAGGGUAUGAUGAAUCAAAACAAACCACCUCAAAUGAACAUGCCGCCUCCGUCGUUCAGGAAUCAGGGCAAUCCUAAUAAGAUGUUCCACAUGGGUGCAAAUCUUAAUCAACCUCCUCCCAUGACACAAAAUUCUGGAUCAGACCAUGGUCAUAUGGGGCAGUUUGAUAAAUUGGAUACUGAAGGGUUACCCAAUCUAAUAGGAAGAAACAUUCAAAAACCAGGAUCUGGCAAUAUGCCGCAAGGGCAAGAUUAUAAUUUCCACAAUCCUCCACCAAAUAGCUAUAUGAACAAAGAAGGUAAACAGGGUUUGAAUUUCAACCAAGGAAAUAAUUACAACCAACGAGGAAAUCAAACUCAAGGAGGUUUUAAUCCUGAUAAUAAAUAUAGUCAGGGAAACAAUUUCAGUCCGAAUAUACCAGGAGGGAAUAACUUCAACAACCAGGGUGGAGGGAACAAUUUCCCUCCUGGAGGAAAUAAUUACAAUUCUAACAACUACGGUUCUGGAAAUUUUAGUCAAGGGAACAACCAGUUCGGUAUGGGGCCCAAGUAUAACCAAAUGAACAAGGGAGGCAACUUUGGUAAUUCACAGGGAAGGCCAGAUUGGGGCGGUCCGAUGCAGAAACCAGCAUUGCUUCCAACCCCACUUUCUAACCCAUUGAAUUUUAAUUCAAAUCAAAGAAAUGACCAAAGCGGCAACUUUCCUGGCAAUGAUCGCUUGAGUUCACCUAUGAGAGGCUCUACUUCUUUUGGAAAUGAUGAACCUGGGUACAAUAAAUAUCAAAAUUUCCAGGACAAACCACAAAACCAAAAUGUCCAAGGUCUAAAACCGUUAUUUCCACAGGAUGGUCAUAAUUUCCCACCAAGUAACAGCAAUCUAGGACCAAAUUCUCUUACACCAGGGAAAGAUUUCAGAUAUCUCCCAUCUUCAUCGGACAGAGAAAGGGAUGAUUCUCUUAAAAAAGCCGACAUGCCAACCCACAUACCUGCUGUAAUAUAUGAUUACUACAAUCAACCAGCAAAUUUAGGUGUACCUGAAAUAUAUGAACCGUGCUCAAUGAUUGAUUAUGCUCAUGCUCCCAGCACAUUGCCUGAUGAACAUAAUUUUGAUGAGAAAGAACAUUGGAGGCAUGACCGAUUGGAAGAAUAUGGACGGCCAGGAAAUUGGGCAAGGGUUUCACGCCAUGACGAAAGGCCAUGGGAUGACAAAAAGGGUCGUGACGAUUACAGGACAAGGGAUAGGGAUGAUUUCAGAAGGGAGGAAUCAAGGAGACGAGACGACCGAGGUCGUGAUGAUAGACGAGAUGACAGAGGAAGGGCGUUAGACAGGGGAAGAGUUGAUAGAGGUGAUGAUAAAGGACGAAGAGAUGACAGAAGAAGAUUAGACAGAACACCUGAGGAUAAAUUUAGAGUUGACAGAAGAGAUAGAGGGAGUGAAAGGGACAGGAGAAUUCAUAAAAGGAGUCGGUCCCGGAGUAGAUCAAUGGAUAGAUCUCAAGAUCCUCACGUUAAGGUUCCUGAACCACCUACGUUGUCUUUAGAAACCUCUCAUCCACCACUGUCACAUUCCCAGUUAAAUGUGCUAAUUGAUGACCUGAUAUCAGAGCCUGGUAGAAAUUCCCGUCCUCCUAGAAUUGUUAUUAUAAUAAGGGGACCACCUGGAUCAGGAAAAUCAUUUUUAGCUAAAUUGAUCAAGGGAAGAGAGGUUCAAAUGGGAGGAUCUGCACCUAGAAUUUUAUCACUUGAUGAUUAUUUUAUGGUGGAAAUUGAAAAAAUAGAAACUGACUCAGAUGGAAGAAAAUCUGCCAAGAAAGUCAUGGAGUAUGAGUAUGAAGCAGCAAUGGAACCACAGUACCGCGAAUCGAUGGUUAAAUCAUUUAAAAAAACAUUGAACGAUGGAUAUUUUCCAUUUGUAAUAGUAGAUGCUGUAAAUAAUAAACUUCAUCAUUUUGAAGAAAUAUCGAGUUUUGCUAAGCAAAAAGGAUUUCAAGUGUAUAUUUGUGAGACUGAACUGGACCUUCAAUCUUGUCUGAAACGAAACGUGCAUAAAAGAUCGGAAAGUGAGAUAGAAGAAAUAAUUAAAGGGUGGGAAAAGACACCAGCCAUUGAAACAUUACUGGACAUCCGUUCUCUGUUACAAGAUGCAAGCAUAAUGGAGGUGGAUAUGGAAGACACAGAGGAAGUGAGCCAGGAUAACAAAAACGGAGAGGCGGAAGGAGCCCAAGGUGGAACAAAAGAUCAAGACGAGCCCCAGGAUUCUGAUCAAUUAGAUAAAGAUAUAGAAAAUGAAGAAUCUGACGUUCCAAAGCAGAGACUCUUGGCCACAACGCUUCAGUCUAUUACCAGCAAGUGGGAUGAUUUGGACAGCUCUAACUACAAAUUAGAUCGACUCGAUGGACUUUCAAAAAACAGAAGGCCAACAGCAACAAUCAAAGAUUGGCUUCAGCUUCCAGAGGACUACUUCGAGGAUUCCCAACAGGCCUCCCAGGUUCCGGGGGGCAAGAAGAGGGUUCGGUGGGCAGACUUGGAGGAGCGGCGAGAACAGGAGAAGAUGAGAGCAAUCGGGUUCGUGGUGGGCCAGACAGAUUGGACCAGAAUGAUGGAUCCUAACAGUGGGCAGCACAAGCUGGCUCAAACAAAAUAUAUUUGAACAGGAUCUCAAUUUUUUAGAAAAUGUUUUGGUGGCAAUUAGCCCUCUUAUAUUAUCAUAAUUAAGGGAUGAAGAAUUAAUCUCUAAAAAUAAUAAAUGAGCCAGUUACAGUACAUUCCAGUUUAUUGAUGUAGUAAUGCCUUGCCAUGUGUAUAUAUUUUUAUUUGUAACUAGCAAUCAGUAUUGUUUGUAUUUCUCUUUAAAGGCAAAUAAAAUGUACUCACGUUUUUUAAA